AUUGAACGCUGGCGGCAGGCCUAACACAUGCAAGUCGAGCGAGCGGCGGACGGGUGAGUAAUGUCUGGGAAACUGCCUGAUGGAGGGGGAUAACUACUGGAAACGGUAGCUAAUACUGCAUACCACCAGACGUGCCCAGAUGGGAUUAGCUAGUAGGUGGGGUAACGGCUCACCCAGGCGACGAUCCCUAGCCGGGCUGAGAGGAUGACCAGCCACACGGGAGCUGAGACACGGGCCAGACUCCUACGGGAGGCAGCAGUGGGGAAUAUUGCACAAUGGGCGAAAGCCUGAUGCAGCCAUGCCGCGUGUGUGAAGAAGGCCUUCGGAUUGUAAAGCACUUUCAGGGGGGAGGCGUUACCCGCAGAAGAAGCACCGGCUAACUCCGUGCCAGCCGCCGCGGUAAUAC
rnacentral:rRNA from 1 species